CACAGCCCCAGAGACAGGGGGUGCUGCUCUAGAGCCUGCCCCUGCCCCACAGCCCACCUCAGAAAUGAACCACCCAGAGUGGGUGGGGGUUCUGGUCAAGGAGAUACGUGAGAUGCUAAAGGGAUGCAUUUCCUCAGCUGCUGGGAAACCCUCCCCCUGCCUUGAAGAGGGAGAGUCUGAUGGUGCUGCAGUGGAACCCACAGACGUUACAACCGUCCAGGUUCCAGCUGAACCACAAGGGCAGUCACAGCCAGCAGCUGUUGCUCCUGUGGAAAUGAGAAAGACUAAGUUGACAUCACAGCACCCUCUUAAUAAGGAUAAGAAAGGAGGGCCCUCACAACCCACAGGGGAGCCAGAAGUUGAAAUCAUCACUGAGUCUCUGACAUAUGACAGUCUCCGUAAGUUACAAAAAGACAUUGUGAGGCGGGGGCUUGAGCCUUAUACAACCUGGUUACUUCGGGUCUGGGACCUUAUGGGUACAGGCGUGCAGCUGGAUGGUGGUGAGGCAAGGAAUGUGGGACCCUUGACCCAGGACUCAGGUGUGAAUCAGAUAUUCGUCAGGGAGCAAGGGCCCCUUUCCCUCUGGGAGCGGCUUUUGAUGAGUGUAAGAGAGAGGUUUGUCCACAGAGAGAGAAUGGAAGAGCACUAUCGUAGAAGAGAAUGGAAAACCAUUGAGGAAGAGAUCCAACAGCUGAGAGAAGUGGCAAUAUUAGAGGUCCUUUUUGGGAGGGGUGGACAGCAUGAUAAUGACCCCGACAAAGUCAGGUGCACUGGGCAGAUGUUGUGGAGUCUGGCAAAUCUAGGGCCACGUGACUACACCACCUAUAUUGCAACGAUUAAUGCCGAUAACAGCCGAGAGACGGUGAGUUCUGUCUCCACCAGGCUUAGACAUUUCGCCAGUAUGGUCCAUGGCCCACAUCAGGCUAAGAUUUCUGCUGUGAUUAAGGAACUCAAAGAAGAGAUGAGGGAAAUGAGGGAAGAGAUGAGAAAGAACAGUUCCCAUAUAGCACCAGUGCGAGUCACAAGCCCAAAACUCCAAGCCCCACGUCCCCCAGCUAGAGAGAGAGGGUACACCUCACGAACUGAGCUGUGGCUCUUUCUACGUGACCAUGGGGAAGACAUGGGAAAGUGGGAUGGGAAACCCACUUCUGCCCUGGCAGCACAAGUGCGUCAACUCAGGCAGAGAACCAGUAACCAGAAAGGUUCCACUAAAGUGAAAGUAGCCUCAACCUCCCGUGACCAAACUGGCAGAUAUUACAGAAAAGAAGAUGAUCCCCUUGAAAGAACCUCUAGCAUGUAUGCCCAAAAAAGAGAAGAUGACCAGUGCUAGAGAGGCCCUGCCUCUAGCCAGGAAGAAGCACGGGAAAACCGGGUCUUUUGGACGGUGUAGAUCCGAUGGCCUGGCACAUCAGAGCCACAAAAAUAUGAAGCUUUAGUUGAUACUGGUGCACAGUGUACCCUAAUGCCAUCAGGACAUGUGGAGGCAGAACCUGUUUCCAUUGCUAGAGUGACGGGGAGAUCGCAGCAAUUGACUCUGUUGGAAGCUGAGGUGAGCCUGACUGGGAAGGAGUGGCAGAAACAUCCCAUUGUGACUGGCCCAGAGGCCCUGUGUAUUCUGGGCAUAGACUUCCUUAGAAAUGGCUAUUACAAAGACCCAAAGAGACUCAGGUGGGCUUUUGGAAUAGCUGCUGUGGAGGCAGAAGACAUUAAGCAAUUGAACACCUUGCCUGGACUAUCAGAGAACCCAUCUGCA
ensembl:lncRNA